UGUAUUAUGAGUUAAUGGUUAUAGUUGUAUUGGUAUCUAUUCAAGUAUUGUAAGGAAUGUAUUUGAAGGUCACGUACCUGGGGAAGUAAACUUUGAUGUAUGUAAAUUAAGUUCGAAUGUAUUAUUAUUUAGUAUUAUUCAGCUUAAAGAAAUGGUAUCGUGGAGAACCAAGUUCGGGUUUCAAGUACCUGGAUUUGGGGUCGUCACAUUACCUAAUUACGAUAUUUAGUAAACUUUCUGGGUUAUUAAUGGUUUCCAUGUUUUGAAUAGCUACAGCUACAUAAUGCAUUCAUUUUGGUUUGUGACAGAUUUCUA
rnacentral:lncRNA from 1 species